rfam:Schistosoma rodhaini strain Burundi genome assembly, scaffold: SROB_scaffold0000187
AACUUCUUGAAUCCGUGCAGACGUCUUGUCAGACACCAACCCAUUAGAGCUGAUCAGACUUCCAAGAUAAGUGAAGUU